UGGGGAAUAUUGCGCAAUGGAGGAAACUCUGACGCAGCAAUACCGCGUGUGUGAAGAAGGCCUGCGGGUUGUAAAGCACUUUCAGUAGGGAGGAAAGGUUGUAAGUUAAUAGCUUAUAACUGUGACGUUACCUACAGAAGAAGCACCGGCUAACUCCGUGCCAGCAGCCGCGGUAAUACGGAGGGUGCAAGCGUUAAUCGGAAUUACUGGGCGUAAAGCGCGCGUAGGUGGAUUAUUAAGUCAGAUGUGAAAGCCCAGGGCUUAACCUUGGAACUGCAUUUGAUACUGGUAAUCUUGAGUACAGUAGAGGGAGGUGGAAUUUCAGGUGUAGCGGUGAAAUGCGUAGAUAUCUGAAGGAACAUCAGUGGCGAAGGCGACCUUCUGGACUGAUACUGACACUGAGGUGCGAAAGCGUGGGGAGCGAACAGGAUUAGAUACCCCCGUAGUCC
rnacentral:rRNA from 1 species